AGCCCAGCUUGCUGGGUGGAUUAGUGGCGAACGGGUGAGUAACACGUGAGUAACCUGCCCUUGACUCUGGGAUAAGCCUGGGAAACUGGGUCUAAUACCGGAUAGGAACGUCCACCGCAUGGUGGUUGUUGGAAAGAUUUAUCGGUCAUGGAUGGACUCGCGGCCUAUCAGCUUGUUGGUGAGGUAAUGGCUCACCAAGGCGACGACGGGUAGCCGGCCUGAGAGGGUGACCGGCCACACUGGGACUGAGACACGGCCCAGACUCCUACGGGAGGCAGCAGUGGGGAAUAUUGCACAAUGGGCGAAAGCCUGAUGCAGCGACGCCGCGUGAGGGAUGACGGCCUUCGGGUUGUAAACCUCUUUCAGUAGGGAAGAAGCGAAAGUGACGGUACCUGCAGAAGAAGCACCGGGCUAACUACGUGCCAGCAGCCGCGGUAAUACGUAGGGUGCGAGCGUUAUCCGGGAAUUAUUGGGCGUAAAGAGCUCGUAGGCGGUUUGUCGCGUCUGUCGUGAAAGUCCGGGGCUUAACCCCGGAUCUGCGGUGGGUACGGGCAGACUAGAGUGCAGUAGGGGAGACUGGAAUUCCUGGUGUAGCGGUGGAAUGCGCAGAUAUCAGGAGGAACACCGAUGGCGAAGGCAGGUCUCUGGGCUGUAACUGACGCUGAGGAGCGAAAGCAUGGGGAGCGAACAGGAUUAGAUACCCUGGUAGUCCAUGCCGUAAACGUUGGGCACUAGGUGUGGGGACCAUUCCACGGUUUCCGCGCCGCAGCUAACGCAUUAAGUGCCCCGCCUGGGGAGUACGGCCGCAAGGCUAAAACUCAAAGGAAUUGACGGGGGCCCGCACAAGCGGCGGAGCAUGCGGAUUAAUUUCGAUGCAACGCGAAGAACCUUACCAAGGCUUGACAUGUUCUCGAUCGCCGUAGAGAUACGGUUUCCCCUUUGGGGCGGGAUCACAGGUGGUGCAUGGUUGUCGUCAGCUCGUGUCGUGAGAUGUUGGGUUAAGUCCCGCAACGAGCGCAACCCUCGUUCCAUGUUGCCAGCACGUAAUGGUGGGGACUCAUGGGAGACUGCCGGGGUCAACUCGGAGGAAGGUGGGGACGACGUCAAAUCAUCAUGCCCCUUAUGUCUUGGGCUUCACGCAUGCUACAAUGGCCGGUACAAUGGGUUGCGAUACUGUGAGGUGGAGCUAAUCCCAAAAAGCCGGUCUCAGUUCGGAUUGGGGUCUGCAACUCGACCCCAUGAAGUCGGAGUCGCUAGUAAUCGCAGAUCAGCAACGCUGCGGUGAAUACGUUCCCGGGCCUUGUACACACCGCCCGUCAAGUCACGAAAGUCGGUAACACCCGAAGCCGGUGGCC
rnacentral:rRNA from 1 species